GACGAACGCUGGCGGCGUGCUUAACACAUGCAAGUCGAACGGAAAGGCCCUGCUUGCAGGGUACUCGAGUGGCGAACGGGUGAGUAACACGUGGGUGAUCUGCCCUGCACUUCGGGAUAAGCCUGGGAAACUGGGUCUAAUACCGGCUAGGAGCCAUUUUUAGUGUGAUGGUUGGAAAGUUUUUUCGGUGUAGGAUGAGCUCGCGGCCUAUCAGCUUGUUGGUGGGGUAAUGGCCUACCAAGGCGGCGACGGGUAGCCGGCCUGAGAGGGUGGACGGCCACAUUGGGACUGAGAUACGGCCCAGACUCCUACGGGAGGCAGCAGUGGGGAAUAUUGCACAAUGGGCGCAAGCCUGAUGCAGCGACGCCGCGGGGGGGAUGACGGCCUUCGGGUUGUAAACUCCUUUCGCUAGGGACGAAGCUUUUUGUGACGGUACCUAGAGAAGAAGCACCGGCUAACUACGUG
rnacentral:rRNA from 1 species